GAGCAACUGACUUGUAAUCAGUAGGUCACCAGUUCGACUCCGGUAGUCGGCA
rnacentral:tRNA from 1 species